GACGAACGCUGGCGGCGUGCUUAACACAUGCAAGUCGAACGAUGAACUUGGAGCUUGCUCUGGGGGAUUAGUGGCGAACGGGUGAGUAACACGUGAGUAACCUGCCCUGGACUCUGGGAUAACUUCGAGAAAUCGGAGCUAAUACCGGAUAGGACCUUGCACCGCAUGGUGUGGGGUGGAAAGUUCUUCGGUUUGGGGUGGACUCGCGGCCUAUCAGCUUGUUGGUGGGGUAAUGGCUCACGAAGGCGUCGACGGGUAGCCGGCCUGAGAGGGUGACCGGCCACACUGGGACUGAGACACGGCCCAGACUCCUACGGGAGGCAGCAGUGGGGAAUAUUGCACAAUGGGCGCAAGCCUGAUGCAGCAACGCCGCGUGCGGGAUGACGGCCUUCGGGUUGUAAACCGCUUUUAGUAGGGAAGAAGCCUUCGGGUGACGGUACCUGCAGAAAAAGGACCGGCUAACUACGUGCCAGCCGCCGCCGUAACAC
rnacentral:rRNA from 1 species